rnacentral:rRNA from 1 species
GAUGAACGCUGGCGGCGUGCCUAAUACAUGCAAGUCGAGCGAAGGGACGAGAACUUGCUUCCCUGGAUGUUAUCGGCGCACGGGUGAGUAACAUAGGGAUAACCUCCCUAUGAGACGGGGAAAACUUCGGGAAACCGGAUCUAACCCCGUAUAAUAUGUUGAACCGUAUGGUUCAAAAGUGAAAGACAGUUGUGCUGUCACCAAUAGAUGGAUCCGCGCUGCAUUAGCUAGUUGGUAAGGUAACGCCUUACGAAGGCAACGAUGCAUAGCCGACCUGAGAGGGUGAUCGCCCACACGGGACCUGGGACACGGUCCAGCCCCCUACGGGGGGAAGAGGUAGGGAAUCUUCCGCAAUGGGCGAAAGCCUGACGGGGCAACGCCGCGUGGGUGAUGAAGGUCUUCGGAUGGUAAACCUCUGUUAUUAGGGAAAAAGAGAUGUGUAAGUAAAUGUGCACAUCGUGACGGUACCUAAUCAGAAAGCCACGGCUAACUACGUG